AAAACAGUUCUUGAGAGGGGAGUGGUUCGAUUCCGCACGGUGCAACAAUAAUGGAAGGGUAAGCCAAGUAGGUCUACGGGUCGCUGUCUU
rnacentral:tRNA from 1 species